GGCCUGCCAGCUCAGUCGGUUAGAGCGUCGUGCUAAUAACGCGAAGGUCACAGGUUCGAUUCCUGUGCAGGCCA